AUGGAGUCACAGACACAGGUUUUCAUGUUCCUGCUGCUCUGGGUGUCUGGUGCCUGUGCGGGUAUUGUGAUGACCCAGUCUCCAUCCUCCAUCGCUGUGUCAUUAGGAGAGAAGGUCACCAUCAGCUGCAAAUCCAGUCAUAGUCUUUUCGACAGUGAAGACAACAAAAACUACUUGAGCUGGUACCAGCAGAAAUCAGGGAAGUCUCCUAAAUGGUUAAUCUACUGGGCAUCCACUCGGGAUACUGGAAUCCCUGAUCGCUUCAUAGGCAGUGGAUCUGAGACAGAUUUCACUCUCACCAUCAGUAGUGUCCAGGCUGAAGAUCUGGCAGAUUAUUACUGUAUGNAUUUCACUCUCACCAUCAGUAGUGUCCAGGCUGAAGAUCUGGCAGAUUAUUACUGUAUGCAAUCUUAUGAGUAUCCUCCCACAGUGCUUCAGCCUCCAACAAAAACUUCUGAGAAUUUCAACAGCUGCCUGCACCACAGGCUGCCUUGCACAU